rnacentral:rRNA from 1 species
GAUGAACGCUGGCGAGAUGCCUUACACAUGCAAGUCGUACGGGGAUUUUUAAUUCAAGUGGCGGACGGGUGAGUAACACGUAAGAAUUUGCCUUUAGGAGGGGGACAACAACUGGAAACGGUUGCUAAUACCCCAUAUGCUUUCGAGUGAAAUGGAUUUUUCCGCCUAAAGAGAAGCUUGCGGCUGAUUAGCUUGUUGGUAAGGUAAGAGCUUACCAAGGCGACGAUCAGUAUCUGGUUUGAGAGGACGAUCAGACACACUGGAACUGAGACACGGUCCAGACUCCUACGGGAGGCAGCAGUGGGGAAUUUUCCGCAAUGGGCGAAAGCCUGACGGAGCAAUACCGCGUGAGGGAAGAAUGCCUAUGGGUUGUAAACCUCUUUUUUCAGGGAGGAAUCAAAUGACGUGUACCUGAAGAAUAAGCAUCGGCUAACUCCGUG